UUCCCAACUAUCCCUACAGCACCAAACAAAACCAAUAUCCAGGAAUCAAGCAAAACAAAACAACAGACUGGACCAGAACAAGUGAGUGAACAAGCAAAAUCAUCAUCACAAAGAAUAAAACACAAGCUGCAGCCACCAACUUCAGAAAAACCAAACUAAAGUUAAUCCAAGCUUUUUGGCGGCUACUUUUAACCUCGGUACAGGAAAGGUAAAGGCAAUUUCAUUUGUUUAUGCUAUAAUCUCAAAUGCACAUAUUUGAUGUAAUGUUCCUGCCUCACAGGAAAUACAAAGCUUGCUCACUUUUGUAGAUCUCAUGAAGUCAAUUAAUUGCCCCACCACUUUGUACAGUUUCUGCUUUACCACAAAGGCUAAUCAAUUCUUUUUGCCAGAACUCCAUUCAGAAUCCAACUUUGACAGCCAAACACGCAAUUGAACCACUAACAUCCAUUUUCCCUCUUUUGAUUAGCAAGCUUACUGUAUAACCUUGCACAAAAGUAAUGUAAUAUAUUUUAAACAUGACCACGUCUUCUUUAUUUUCACGCCAAUAAAAAAUUCGUCCGUACAACGUCAAUACAAAUUCGCAUGGCCAUUAAACCCCUAGUUAUUAUUUAAAUAAGAGACGAUCACAUGGCAUAAAACAAUAUUUACAUCCAAAAAAUGUACAAGCAGCAAAUAAGAAAACAAGAACAAAAAAGUGAAAUAAGAACUGUCACAAUGAAAUGACUACAAAGUACAAAUUCCAGGAAGAUCAAGUUUUUUUCAUUUUUCUUUUCAAAUUAUAUAAAAGUCUUGCUCUUAGCCAACAAACAACAUCCAUGUGUAUCGUUUUUAUUU